rnacentral:rRNA from 1 species
CGGACGGGUGAGUAACGCGUGAGAAUCUGCCCUCAGGAGGAGGAUAACGGUUGGAAACGGCCGCUAAUACCCCAUAUGCCGAGAGGUGAAAUGAAUUUCGCCUGAGGAUGAGCCCGCGUCUGAUUAGCUAGUUGGUGAGGUAAGAGCUCACCAAGGCAUCGAUCAGUAGCUGGUCUGAGAGGAUGAUCAGCCACACUGGGACUGAGACACGGCCCAGACUCCUACGGGAGGCAGCAGUGGGGAAUUUUCCGCAAUGGGCGAAAGCCUGACGGAGCCACGCCGCGUGAGGGAUGAAGGCCUCUGGGCUGUAAACCUCUUUUAUCAAGGAAGAAGAUCUGACGGUACUUGAUGAAUAAGCCACGGCUAAUUCCGUGCCAGCAGCCGCGGUAAUACGGGAGUGGCAAGCGUUAUCCGGAAUUAUUGGGCGUAAAGCGUCCGCAGGCGGCCCAACAAGUCUGCUGUUAAAAAGUGGAGCUUAACUCCAUCAUGGCAGUGGAAACUGUUGGGCUCGAGUGUGGUAGGGGCAGAGGGAAUUCCUGGUGUAGCGGUGAAAUGCGUAGAUAUCGGGAAGAACACCAGUGGCGAAGGCGCUCUGCUGGGCCAUCACUGACGCUCAUGGACGAAAGCCAGGGGAGCGAAAGGGAUUAGAUACCCCUGUAGUC